rnacentral:rRNA from 1 species
AUUGAACGCUGGCGGCAGGCCUAACACAUGCAAGUCGAGCGGAGGAAGGGAGCUUGCUCCUGGAUUCAGCGGCGGACGGGUGAGUAAUGCCUAGGAAUCUGCCUGGUAGUGGGGGAUAACGUCCGGAAACGGGCGCUAAUACCGCAUACGUCCUGAGGGAGAAAGUGGGGGAUCUUCGGACCUCACGCUAUCAGAUGAGCCUAGGUCGGAUUAGCUAGUUGGUGGGGUAAAGGCCUACCAAGGCGACGAUCCGUAACUGGUCUGAGAGGAUGAUCAGUCACACUGGAACUGAGACACGGUCCAGACUCCUACGGGAGGCAGCAGUGGGGAAUAUUGGACGAUGGGCGAAAGCCUGAUCCAGCCAUGCCGCGUGUGUGAAGAAGGUCUUCGGAUUGUAAAGCACUUUAAGUUGGGAGGAAGGGCAGUAAGUUAAUACCUUGCUGUUUUGACGUUACCAACAGAAUAAGCACCGGCUAACUUCGUG